rnacentral:misc_RNA from 1 species
UUUCCGUAGGUGAACCUGCGGAAGGAUCAUUAUCAAGAGUGACCCCACUAGUAAAAUAGUGGGGUUAACCUCCCGUCCUUUGCUUUUAACCCUCUAUUUUUUAGAGGGGGCAUUUAAUAUCUGCUUCGGUGGGGUUUACCCACCGGAACAACCUCAAAAAUUCUUUUAAAAAUCAUUCAGUCCGAGAAAUUUUUAAAUUGACAGAAAACUUUCAACAACGGAUCUCUUGGUUCUGGCAUCGAUGAAGAACGCAGC